UACGGAGGGAGCUAGCGUUGUUCGGAAUUACUGGGCGUAAAGCGCACGUAGGCGGCUUUGUAAGUUAGAGGUGAAAGCCCGGGGCUCAACUCCGGAGCUGCCUUUAAGACUGCAUCGCUUGAAUCCAGGAGAGGUGAGUGGAAUUCCGAGUGUAGAGGUGAAAUUCGUAGAUAUUCGGAAGAACACCAGUGGCGAAGGCGGCUCACUGGACUGGUAUUGACGCUGAGGUGCGAAAGCGUGGGGAGCAAACAGG
rnacentral:rRNA from 1 species